AAGUCGACGCCCCGCAGGGGAGUGGCAGACGGGUGAGUAACGCGUGGGAACAUACCCUUUCCUGCGGAAUAGCUCCGGGAAACUGGAAUUAAUACCGCAUACGCCCUACGGGGGAAAGAUUUAUCGGGGAAGGAUUGGCCCGCGUUGGAUUAGCUAGUUGGUGGGGUAAAGGCCUACCAAGGCGACGAUCCAUAGCUGGUCUGAGAGGAUGAUCAGCCACAUUGGGACUGAGACACGGCCCAAACUCCUACGGGAGGCAGCAGUGGGGAAUAUUGGACAAUGGGCGCAAGCCUGAUCCAGCCAUGCCGCGUGAGUGAUGAAGGCCUUAGGGUUGUAAAGCUCUUUCACCGGAGAAGAUAAUGACGGUAUCCGGAGAAGAAGCCCCGGCUAACUUCGUGCCAGCAGCCGCGGUAAUACGAAGGGGGCUAGCGUUGUUCGGAAUUACUGGGCGUAAAGCGCACGUAGGCGGAUAUUUAAGUCAGGGGUGAAAUCCCAGAGCUCAACUCUGGAACUGCCUUUGAUACUGGGUAUCUUGAGUAUGGAAGAGGUAAGUGGAAUUCCGAGUGUAGAGGUGAAAUUCGUAGAUAUUCGGAGGAACACCAGUGGCGAAGGCGGCUUACUGGUCCAUUACUGACGCUGAGGUGCGAAAGCGUGGGGGAGCAAACAGGAUUAGAUACCCUGGUAGUCCACGCCGUAACGAUGAAUGUUAGCCGUCGGGCAGUAUACUGUUCGGUGGCGCAGCUAACGCAUUAAACAUUCCGCCUGGGGAGUACGGUCGCAAGAUUAAAACUCAAAGGAAUUGACGGGG
rnacentral:rRNA from 1 species